GACGAACGCUGGCGGCGUGCCUAAUACAUGCAAGUCGAACGAGAGCACCCGGUGCUUGCACUGGUCAAUCUAGUGGCGAACGGGUGAGUAACACGUGGGUAACCUGCCCAUCAGAGGGGGAUAACAUCCGGAAACGGAUGCUAAAACCGCAUAGGUCUUCGAACCGCAUGGUUUGAAGAGGAAAAGAGGCUCUAGCUUCUGCUGUUGGUUGUUCCCGCGUUGCAUUAGCUAGUUUGUUAGGUAACGGCUCACCAAGGCCGUGAUGCAUAGCCGACCUGAGGGGGUGAUCGGCCAAAUUGGGACUGAGACACGGCCCAAACUCCUACGGGAGGCAGCAGUAGGGAAUCUUCCGCAAUGGGCGCAAGUCUGACGGAGCAACGCCGCGUGAGUGAAGAAGGUUUUCGGAUCGUAAAACUCUGUUGUUAGAGAAGAACAAGUGCUAGAGUAACUGUUAGCGCCUUGACGGUAUCUAACCAGAAAGCCACGGCUAACUACGUG
rnacentral:rRNA from 1 species